rnacentral:rRNA from 1 species
GACGAACGCUGGCGGCGUGCUUAACACAUGCAAGUCGAGCGAUGAAGUUUUUUCGGAAAUGGAUUAGCGGCGAACGGGUGAGGAACACGUGAAGAAUCUGCCCUCCACUUUGGGAUAACACAGGGAAACCUGUGCUAAUACCGAAUAUUGAAACAUAAGUGGCAUCACUGAGUUUUGAAAGAAUUUCGGUGGAGGAUGACUUCGCGGCCUAUCAGCUAGUUGGUGAGGUAAUGGCUCACCAAGGCAACGACGGGUAGCCGGCCUGAGAGGGCGACCGGCCACACUGGGACUGAGACACGGCCCAGACUCCUACGGGAGGCAGCAGUGGGGAAUAUUGGGCAAUGGAGGAAACUCUGACCCAGCGACGCCGCGUGCGGGAUGAAGGCCUUCGGGUUGUAAACCGCUUUCAGUAGGGAAGAAGCGAAAGUGACGGUACCUACAAAAGAAGCACCGGCUAACUAUGUGCCAGCCGCCGCCGUAA